UAAUUAAACCAUAUGUUUGGAAAAUUUUACAUCAAAUGGUGAAGGCCGCGAUGGAGGAGUCAUUCCUUCACCUUGAUUAUCAUUAAAAUCCAAGGGUAAUUCUCCUAAUUCAAACUCCUGUUAGUGAGUCAGCGCACGGACCCAUUGUAUCCACAACAAUCUAUCUUGCGAUCUGGCGAUUCUCAUGACAUGAUAAUUCUGAUCAUCAGAAUUAUAAUAGUAAGUACAAGUAAUUGGGUCAAUGCUACUUU